rnacentral:rRNA from 1 species
GGAUAGGGCACUCUAAUGGGACUGCCGGUGACAAACCGGAGGAAGGUGGGGAUGACGUCAAGUCCUCAUGGCCCUUAUGGGUAGGGCUACACACGUCAUACAAUGGCCGGUACAGAGGGCAGCCAACCCGCGAGGGGGAGCUAAUCCCAAAAAACCGGUCGUAGUCCGGAUUGCAGUCUGCAACUCGACUGCWURAAGUCG